UGGGGAAUAUUGGACUAUGGGCGCAAGCCUGAUCCAGCCUUGCCGCGUGAGUGAUGAAGGACCUAGGGUUGAAAAGCUCUUUCACCGGUGAAGAUAAUGACGGUAACCGGUGAAGAAGCCCCGGCUAACCUCGUGCCAGCAGCCGCGGUAAUUCGUAGGGGGCUAGCGUUGUUCGGAUUUACUGGGCGUAAAGCGUACGUAGGCGGACUUUUAAGUCAGGGGUGAAAUCCCGGGGCUCAACCCCGGAACUGCCUUUGAUACUGGAAAUCUUGAGUAUGGUAGAGAUGAGAGGAAUUCCGAGUGUAGAGGUGAAAUACGUAGAUAUUCGGAGGAACACCAGUGGCGAAGGCGGCUCACUGGACCAUUACUGUCGCUACAAUGCGAAAGAGUGGGGAGCAAACAGG
rnacentral:rRNA from 1 species